rnacentral:rRNA from 1 species
AAUCAACGCUGGCGGCGUGCCUCAGACAUGCAAGUCGAACGCGAAAGUCCCCUUCGGGGGAUGAGCAGAGUGGCGCGCGGGUGAGUAACACGUAGGUAAUCUACCUUCGGGUGGGGAAUAACAACCGGAAACGGUUGCUAAUACCGCAUAAUGCAGCGGCACCUAAUGGUGACAGUUGUUAAAGCGGGGGAUCGCAAGACCUCGCGCCUGAAGAGGAGCCUGCGGCGGAUUAGCUAGUUGGCAGGGUAACGGCCUACCAAGGCGACGAUCCGUAGCCGGCCUGAGAGGGCGGUCGGCCACACUGACACUGACAUACGGGUCAGACUCCUACGGGAGGCAGCAGUCGGGAAUUUUGGGCAAUGGGCGAAAGCCUGACCCAGCAACGCCGCGUGAAGGAUGAAAUCCCUCGGGAUGUAAACUUCGCAAGAACGGGGAGAAUAAGCCGGUGUCAACACCACCGGCGAUGACGGUACCGUUUGUAAGCUCCGGCUAACUCCGUGCCAGCAGCCGCGGUAAA